UUGUAAGCUGUUGAUCAAAUGUCUGGCAGGAAAGGCUCAUACAGACAAAUUUUUAGCACUGACAGA